rnacentral:rRNA from 1 species
AACGAACGCUGGCGGCAGGCUUAACACAUGCAAGUCGAACGCCCCUUUCGGGGGGAGUGGCAGACGGGUGAGUAACGCGUGGGAACGUGCCCUUCAGUUUGGAAUAACCCAGGGAAACUUGGGCUAAUACCGGAUACGCCCUUCGGGGGAAAGAUUUAUCGCUGAAGGAUCGGCCCGCGUCUGAUUAGCUGGUUGGUGAGGUAAUGGCUAACCAAGGCGACGAUCAGUAGCUGGUCUGAGAGGGUGAUCAGCCACAUUGGGACUGGGACACGGCCCAAACGCCUACGGGAGGCAGCAGUGGGGAAUAUUGGACAAUGGGCGCAAGCCUGAUCCAGCCAUGCCGCGUGAGUGAUGACGGCCUUAGGGUUGUAAAGCUCUUUCGCACGCGACGAUAAUGACGGUAGCGUGAGAAGAAGCCCCGGCUAACUUCGUGCCAGCCGCCGCCGUAACAC